CACCCCUAAUUCGGUCCAAUUGCAAAUCAGCAGCACAUCAACGGCCUUGUGUGUACUUCUCUUUCUCUCUGUUCCACUUCUGAAUUCAUCAGUACUGGAAUUCAUACAUUCAGUGAUUAAUUGGUGCGUAUUGUUGUUGUGGUGUGUUAUCAGGAAGUUUAGCCAUGAAGAAUAGAAACAUUGCUCUGUUUUUUCGGAAUCAUGAAGCGAAAGCAAAGAAGAUUGCUUCUUCUUCCCCAUCAAUUCUGGUUCCAUUCAUAGAUGAUGUCAAUGGUACUGGUUCAACUCCAACUCCAAUUGCGUGUGAUGGCAAUGGUUCAGGUUCAACUCCAGUUGUAGAUGAUGGCAAUACUAUUAGAUUAUACCGGAUUUUGCUUUGAAAUUUUUUGACUAGGACUACUCUAGUUUCUCCUGGGUCCGCCACUGUUGAGAGGCACCAUGUUACUUUCUUGAUGCUUCUUGUUACUUGCCGUUGCAAAAUCAGAGGGCUCUCGCCGUAGCGCUAAAUAGCUUUUGUAAGAGAUGGAUCACUAGCUAAGCCUAAUUCUAACUGUAGCUACUUGUGAUAUACUAGAAUUAUCCCAAACCGAUUUACAUAGCAAACAUUCAUGUAACCUGCACCAUUCAGAAGACACAAUCAAGAAGCUCAAACAGUUAUGAGGUG
rnacentral:lncRNA from 1 species